rnacentral:rRNA from 1 species
GAGUUUGAUCUUGGCUCAGGACGAACGCUGGCGGCGUGCCUAACACAUGCAAGUCGAGCGGGGAACGGAUGGUAGCUUGCUACAGUUUGUUUCUAGCGGCGGACGGGUGAGUAACGCGUGAGCAACCUGCCUUUAUCAGGGGGAUAACGCAUCGAAAGAUGUGCUAAUACCGCGUAAGACCACAGCUUCACAUGGAGCGGGGGUCAAAGGAGCAAUCCGGAUAAAGAUGGGCUCGCGUCCGAUUAGCUAGUUGGUGAGAUAACAGCCCACCAAGGCGACGAUCGGUAGCCGACCUGAGAGGGUGAUCGGCCACAUUGGAACUGAGAGACGGUCCAGACUCCUACGGGAGGCAGCAGUGGGGAAUAUUGGGCAAUGGGCGAAAGCCUGACCCAGCAACGCCGCGUGAGGGAAGAAGGGUUUC